rnacentral:rRNA from 1 species
AUUGAACGCUGGCGGCAGGCCUCACACAUGCAAGUCGAACGAGUGGCGGACGGGUGAGUAAUGUCUGGGAAACUGCCCGAUGGAGGGGGAUAACUACUGGAAACGGUCUCUAAUACCGCAUACCAUCGGAUGUGCCCAGAUGGGAUUAGCUAGUAGGUGGGGUAAGGGCUCACCUAGGCGACGCUCCCUAGCUGGUCUGAGAGGAUGACCAGCCACACUGGUACUGAGAAACGGUCCAGACUCCUACGGGAGGCAGCAGUGGGGAAUAUUGCGCAAUGGGCUCAAGCCUGAUGCAGCCAUGCCGCGUGUAUGAAGAAGGCCUUCGGGUUUUAAAGUACUUUCAGCGAGGAGGCGUUACUCGCAGAAGAAGCAUCGGCUAACUCCGUGCCAGCAGCCGCGGUAAUAC